rnacentral:snRNA from 1 species
ACUUUGAAAAGAGAGUCAAAGAGUG